rnacentral:rRNA from 1 species
GACGAACGCUGGCGGCGUGCUUAACACAUGCAAGUCGAACGGUAAGGCUCCAGCUUGCUGGGGUACACGAGUGGCGAACGGGUGAGUAACACGUGGGUGACCUGCCCUGCACUUCGGGAUAAGCCUGGGAAACUGGGUCUAAUACCGGAUAGGACCGCACCGUGAGGGUGUGGUGGAAAGUUUUUUCGGUGUGGGAUGGGCCCGCGGCCUAUCAGCUUGUUGGUGGGGUAAUGGCCUACCAAGGCGGCGACGGGUAGCCGGCCUGAGAGGGUGGACGGCCACAUUGGGACUGAGACACGGCCCAGACUCCUACGGGAGGCAGCAGUGGGGAAUAUUGCACAAUGGGCGGAAGCCUGAUGCAGCGACGCCGCGUGGGGGAUGACGGCCUUCGGGUUGUAAACUCCUUUCACCAUCGACGAAGGGUUUCUGACGGUAGAUGGAGAAGAAGCACCGGCUAACUACGUGCCAGCAGCCGCGGUAAUACGUAGGGUGCGAGCGUUGUCCGGAAUUACUGGGCGUAAAGAGCUCGUAGGUGGUUUGUCGCGUCGUCUGUGAAAUUCCGGGGCUUAACUCCGGGCGUGCAGGCGAUACGGGCAUAACUUGAGUACUGUAGGGGAGACUGGAAUUCCUGGUGUAGCGGUGAAAUGCGCAGAUAUCAGGAGGAACACCGGUGGCGAAGGCGGGUCUCUGGGCAGUAACUGACGCUGAGGAGCGAAAGCAUGGGGAGCGAACAGGAUUAGAUACCCUGGUAGUCCAUGCCGUAAACGGUGGGCGCUAGGUGUGGGUUUCCUUCCACGGGAUCCGUGCCGUAGCUAACGCAUUAAGCGCCCCGCCUGGGGAGUACGGCCGCAAGGCUAAAACUCAAAGGAAUUGACGGGGGCCCGCACAAGCGGCGGAGCAUGUGGAUUAAUUCGAUGCAACGCGAAGAACCUUACCUGGGCUUGACAUAUACAGGAUCGCGCCAGAGAUGGUGUUUCCCUUGUGGCUUGUAUACAGGUGGUGCAUGGUUGUCGUCAGCUCGUGUCGUGAGAUGUUGGGUUAAGUCCCGCAACGAGCGCAACCCUUGUCUUAUGUUGCCAGCACGUUGUGGUGGGGACUCGUAAGAAACUGCCGGGGUUAACUCGGAGGAAGGUGGGGAUGACGUCAAAUCAUCAUGCCCCUUAUGUCCAGGGCUUCACACAUGCUACAAUGGUCGGUACAGUGGGUUGCCAGUCCGUGAGGGCGAGCUAAUCCCGCAAAGCCGGUCUCAGUUCGGAUCGGGGUCUGCAACUCGACCCCGUGAAGUCGGAGUCGCUAGUAAUCGCAGAUCAGCAACGCUGCGGUGAAUACGAUCCCGGGCCU